AUGUCAGUAGUAUAGGUUUAUUAGUAUAUUGUCUUUCCAAGUCAAAGGUCUAAAGAGUUAGUUGACAUA
rnacentral:tRNA from 1 species